AUUUUUCAUCUCCCACGUUCUCAGUCUCUCUAAUCCUCGCAAGCUGCAUUUCCAAGCCUUCCCACAAGUUGCAAUCGUUUGUUUCAAGCCUUCUCACAAGUGUUGGUGUUACUAGCUAAGAAUCGUGUUGGUUUUAAAUUUUAUAUUCAUACUCUUUUUGUCUCCGGCGAUGGUGGAGUUCAGGUCUUGAAGUGUUUUGGCUUGGUAUGAAUCUGUAGAAAUUGAAUUGGAUGUUGAAUUGCUUUGAUUUGCAGGUAAUAUACUUGGCUUGACAUAUUUGCUUAACAGAUUUGUAUUGGGAUGCAGAAUUGGUUCUGAGCUAGGUUUGAAGUUCGAUUUGGUUUGAGAUGAGAAUUAAUCAAGCUAUGGAACAUUGAGUGAAGCUAGUAGAAUGUUAUAGCAUCAGUUUGUUUAUUUAGCUCUGAAUUCCUCUUAUGCAUAGUUUAUGAACUGGUUUACAAAUGUCAGCUCUUUAGACAUAGAAAUAACGUUCGUAUUUGCUGUUCAUAUAUCAUUCUCAUAGUGCUGAACUGGUUAUAUUUGUCAAUCGUAUUUGCCGGACAGUAGCUAAACCAUGAUGGUUAGUUUAAA